rnacentral:rRNA from 1 species
AUGAACGCUAGCUACAGGCUUAACACAUGCAAGUCGAGGGGCAGCAUGGUCUUAGCUUGCUAAGGCUGAUGGCGACCGGCGCACGGGUGAGUAACACGUAUCCAACCUGCCGUCUACUCUUGGCCAGCCUUCUGAAAGGAAGAUUAAUCCAGGAUGGGAUCAUGAGUUCACAUGUCCGCAUGAUUAAAGGUAUUUUCCGGUAGACGAUGGGGAUGCGUUCCAUUAGAUAGUAGGCGGGGUAACGGCCCACCUAGUCAACGAUGGAUAGGGGUUCUGAGAGGAAGGUCCCCCACAUUGGAACUGAGACACGGUCCAAACUCCUACGGGAGGCAGCAGUGAGGAAUAUUGGUCAAUGGGCGAUGGCCUGAACCAGCCAAGUAGCGUGAAGGAUGACUGCCCUAUGGGUUGUAAACUUCUUUUAUAAAGGAAUAAAGUCGGGUAUGCAUACCCGUUUGCAUGUACUUUAUGAAUAAGGAUCGGCUAACUCCGUGCCAGCAGCCGCGGUAAUACGGAGGAUCCGAGCGUUAUCCGGAUUUAUUGGGUUUAAAGGGAGCGUAGAUGGAUGUUUAAGUCAGUUGUGAAAGUUUGCGGCUCAACCGUAAAAUUGCAGUUGAUACUGGAUGUCUUGAGUGCAGUUGAGGCAGGCGGAAUUCGUGGUGUAGCGGUGAAAUGCUUAGAUAUCACGAAGAACUCCGAUUGCGAAGGCAGCCUGCUAAGCUGCAACUGACAUUGAGGCUCGAAAGUGUGGGUAUCAAACAGGAUUAGAUACCCUGGUAGUCCACACGGUAAACGAUGAAUACUCGCUGUUUGCGAUAUACGGCAAGCGGCCAAGCGAAAGCGUUAAGUAUUCCACCUGGGGAGUACGCCGGCAACGGUGAAACUCAAAGGAAUUGACGGGGGCCCGCACAAGCGGUGGAGCAUGUGGUUUAAUUCGAAGCAACGCGAAGAACCUUACCAAAUCUUGACAUCCUCUGACCCCUCUAGAGAUAGAGUUUUCCCCUUCGGGGGACAGAGUGACAGGUGGUGCAUGGUUGUCGUCAGCUCGUGUCGUGAGAUGUUGGGUUAAGUCCCGCAACGAGCGCAACCCUUAAGCUUAGUUGCCAUCAUUAAGUUGGGCACUCUAAGUUGACUGCCGGUGACAAACCGGAGGAAGGUGGGGAUGACGUCAAAUCAUCAUGCCCCUUAUGAUUUGGGCUACACACGUGUUACAAUGGGGGGUACAGAGGGCCGCUACCACGCGAGUGGAUGCCAAUCCCUAAAACCCCUCUCAGUUCGGACUGGAGUCUGCAACCCGACUCCACGAAGCUGGAUUCGCUAGUAAUCGCGCAUCAGCCACGGCGCGGUGAAUACGUUCCCGGGCCUUGUACACACCGCCCGUCAAGCCAUGGGAGCCGGGGGUACCUGAAGUGCGUAACCGCGAGGAUCGCCCUAGGGUAAAACUGGUGACUGGGGCU